UACGGGGGGGGCAAGCGUUGUUCGGAAUUACUGGGCGUAAAGAGCUCGUAGGUGGUUUGUCGCGUUGUUCGUGAAAACUCACAGCUUAACUGUGGGCGUGCGGGCGAUACGGGCAGACUGGAGUACUGCAGGGGAGACUGGAAUUCCAGGUGUAGCGGUGAAAUGCGUAGAUAUCUGGAGGAAUACCGGUGGCGAAGGCGGCAUCCUGGACCGGCAUUGACGCUGAGGAGCGAAAGCCAGGGGAGCAAAGCGGG
rnacentral:rRNA from 1 species